GUUAACGCCAAGAUCUUUCUCCACGUUCCAAUCACGUAAGACGUCCUGAUCCUGCACAGUAAACACAGUCAACACCGAAAGCUUGACGGCGGUUCCGUCGGGGGAUAGCUCAGGCGUGAGAAUUAGUACGUGUUCACAAGGUUAACAAUGGAGGAAUAUAUGGUCUAGUGUAUCGAUAGAGAUAAUAAUUCUCAGUUGUGUGUAUGGGAGAAUAUGAAUAAUCAAUAUAUGAGAGAACGUACCUCUAUACGAUGGCUUCCUUGCUAAGUUAUAUUACCUUUGCUUGGAUUACUGUGCCACCCACUACUACCUGACACCCCCUCUGAUCUGAUGGGCUCUGCCGACUAUAUCAGGUUUAUCUACUGCUUUUGGCCACUGUUUUCUACCGCCGGCCGGUUAUGAUCCCAUCCACAUUAAUGCAUGGCAG
rnacentral:lncRNA from 1 species